CUGUGUCCACCAUGGCCUGGACAUCUCUUCUCCUUGUGCUUCUCUCCCACUGCACAGGUUCCCUCUCCCAGCCCGUGCUGACUCAGCCACCCUCCCUCUCUGCAUCCCUGGGAGCAUCUGCCAGACUCACCUGCACCCUGAGCAGUGACAUCAGUGUUGGUGGAAAAAUUGUAUACUGGUACCAGCAGAAGCCAGGGAGCAAUCCCCGGUAUCUCCUGAGCUACUACUCAGAGCCAAGUAAGCACCAGGGCUCUGGAGUCCCCAGCCGCUUCUCUGGAUCCAAAGAUGCCUCAACUAACUUAGGGAUUCUGCACAUCUCUGGGCUGCAGCCUGAGGAUGAGGCUGACUAUUAUUGUAAGAUAUGGCGUGACAGCACUAAUGCUUACACAGUGCUCCAGACCCCCAGGGAAGGUGAUCGAAGGUGCUCAGCACCCACGUUCUGCAGGUGGAUCACAGGCCCUGGAAGGAUUGUGGCUGUGGGCCCAGCAGAUGGUGCUGUGGGCUGUUCUGAGUAG